rnacentral:rRNA from 1 species
CCUACGGGCGGCUGCAGUGGGGAAUAUUGGACAAUGGGCGAAAGCCUGAUCCAGCCAUGCCGCGUGUGUGAAGAAGGCCUUCGGGUUGUUAAGCACUUUCAGUGGGGAAGAAAGCCUUGGGGCUAAUACCCUCGAGGAAGGACAUCACCCACAGAAGAAGCACCGGCUAACUCCGUGCCAGCAGCCGCGGUAAUACGGAGGGUGCGAGCGUUAAUCGGAAUUACUGGGCGUAAAGCGCGCGUAGGCGGUCUGAUAAGCCGGUUGUGAAAGCCCCGGGCUCAACCUGGGAACGGCAUCCGGAACUGUCAGGCUAGAGUGCAGGAGAGGAAGGUAGAAUUCCCGGUGUAGCGGUGAAAUGCGUAGAGAUCGGGAGGAAUACCAGUGGCGAAGGCGGCCUUCUGGACUGACACUGACGCUGAGGUGCGAAAGCGUGGGUAGCAAACAGGAUUAGAUACCCUGGUAGUC